rnacentral:tRNA from 1 species
GGCUCGUUGGUCUAGGGGUAUGAUUCUCGCUUAGGGUGCGAGAGGUCCGGGUUUAAAUCCCGGACGAGCCC